AUCCGCUCUAAGGCAUUCUGGGUGCCUGCUCUCUAAGUGGGAGGAACAGAGCGUAGCCCUUGCACCAUGUUGUGGGAAUCAACUGUCCCAUCGCUGCCACUUCCGCUGGUGUUGGGAGAAUGGAUGUGCUUGUGUUUGGAUGUCCCUAUUUAUAGAAUAGGCUAGCGACGGCCAGUGCAGCCGGCCGCCGACGGUUUCUUGUGUACGCUGCGAUGCAAAUCUCCUCUGUCAGCUGUGUGUGCGCUACUGGGGGAAGGCGAAAGAACUGGAGAGGAACUUGACUCACCUUUUCCUGGCUCGCCAUGAGAAACUGAGCACGAAACAAUAGAAAUGGCCCUUCUGGAGCGUGUCAUGGUUUCUCGCUAGGGAAAUAAGCAGACUAAUGUGACAAAACCUCUGUAGAUAAAAAACGACAGGGACGGAGGUUUAUGGGCUUGAGGCUGAGCAGCACAUCAUCCCAGCAAGCCGACAGCCAGGCCUGCCUCUGAAAUCACCAACCACUUACACAGGAAGUGAUGGGUACUCCACACUGCUGCACCAAGAGAAAGUCUGUGAGCAUCAUCACGCGGCCUCAGGCUCGUUUACAAUCUUGAACUGGAAUGACCUUUCCACUGUGGGGCAAACUCCUUCCCAGACUCAGAGGUUAACCACACAAGUACUUCAGUGAUUCAAAAAACAAUCGCACGGUUGCUCUCCCUUGGAGAUGAAUUCCCAAACUGGUAGCAAAUACAGGCAACGCUUGGUAACCGUGUUCAACCAGAGAUUCUAAGAAAAGUUCAAGGUUAAUCACUGAAAGGCUUUGUACUGAGGCCACCCUCUUUGGUAACCAACACAUCCUAGAAUUUUGUAAAUAUUUAGAGCUAAUUCCCUUAUCACGAAGCUCACAUUUUCCAGAAGCCUUUCUAGUGGCCAGGGGGAGAGAAGGGAUUCGAAGAUUCUGAUUCCCUCUGCCCUGUGCCCUACCGACUUCUUGGGUCAACCUUAACUAUGCAAAACACCAAUGUGCACUUCCAGGCACACAUCCCUUCAAGCUCCCAUGAGGAAAUUCCUGUUUGCGGGUUGCUGUUUUCCUGUUCCAGGAGGCUGGCUGGCCCUCCAGAGCUGGAGGGUAGGAGUGCUGGGAGUUUCCUUCCCAUCUCUGAGACCAGAUCUCUGUCACUGGAGUCAUGUCUGAGCACUGGCCCAGGGUGCUGGGACCCCGACGGGGAAGCAAUGGGGAGGAAAUGUUUCUCCUGCCCUCCAGCUCCCAAGGACUCACAUGCUCACAUAGACAUCAACCCAACCAGACUGUCCCCCUAUGUUCCGAGCUGCUAGGGGGAUCUGAGGCGGUGGCUAAGAGCCACUCAGCAGAGUUUGUUGCUGGCCUUGCCAGAAGCUCAUGAGAGAUGGCUUCCCAUUCUGUGCAGUGAAGGUCAGAGAGCUCACCAGGUCCAUCCCCAUCCCAAACCAGCACAUUUUAGUGUUUCGGCCAAAAAAGCAGGACAAAGUUUUAAAAGAUUAAGUUGAAGCAAAAGAGCACAGUGUCACAAAAUUGAACUCGAUACACGUGAGAGGCAUAAAAUAGUAAUAAAGAUAAACAAGAAACAAUAGAUAAAAACACAGCGAAAGGCACUGGUCUGGCAGUGGUUCUCUCCAAGUUUAGUACAGGAGAUGCCCUGUUUUCAUUAGCUUCCUUCCUUGGGUUCUUCAACACAAAGCCUUCUAGAGAGCCUGGAGGGUUGUGCAGAGCAAGAAGUCUUUGGUUUCUAAACCCGCAGACUAGAAUAGAUACAGUCUUUUGUUAUAGGUUCCCUGGAAUACAGAAUGGCCUAUGGAGAGCACUUUUCUCCGGGAGUGUCCAGUUUUCUGUGACAUCCCUAAAUGGUACUAGACCCACAUUCAAAUGUCCAAGCUAGUCCAACUCCCGAGUCCUCAGAUAAGGCCUAGAAAAGUCCAACUGAGUGCUCUGGGUGACAAGGUAAAUUAUAUGUCACCUUCUAAAGCUGUUUGGGACCCCGUGGGAGGAAGACACCACACAAGCCAAGAGACCUUUUCCAUUUCAAAUUACAAGGAUUCUGUGAAAGUCUCCAGCCGCCACUCUGUCUGGCUUUCUGGGCCUGGGUGUGCCAGUUGCCACUCUGCUGUGCGGAGGUGGACGGAUGGCCAGGGGACAGGGAUGGCUGGAUAUGGCCACUGGCAGCCAGCUAGCAUACGCAGGCACCAGCCCUCAGCUAAACUGUCACUGUGGGCUCCAGGAGAAUUCUUGAGAACCCAGUCUCACAGGGGAAGGGACAAGUCCAAGCUCCACAGAUCCAUCACAAAAGCUGAUCACAUAUGAAAAAAAAAAAAAAUCAGUAAAAGCCAUUGGCCAGAUGGCCUCCAUGUCCAGGCUAAUUAAGAACAAUUUCCCAAGUCAUGGGGCAGAAUACAUUUGUAAAUGACAUAGCUGUAAGGGUGGGACAUUAAAAAAAAACAAACCGGGCUGGGGAUUUAGCUCAGUGGUAGAGCGCUUGCCUAGGAAGCGCAAGGCCCUGGGUUCGGUCCCCAGCUCCGAAAAAAAGAAAAAAACAAAAAAAAAAAAAAAAAAACAAAAAAAACCAACCCUGUGACCGUGGCAUCGGUGGUGACAGACAACAUGAGAGAAGCGCAGAGUGCCUCGUGAAAACCGAAAGAUUGGAACCAGCUGUAACUUCAGGUCCAGGACAUCCAGUGCCAACCUCCGGCCCCCGUGGGCCCCUGUAAUCCACACGCACAUACUCUCUCCCAAUACACACAACUAAAAAUAAAAUCUAAAAGCCAUAACUAAUUGACAGACGUGAAUGGAAAGGAACGUGACUGCAAUUCCAGCAUCCAAGAAGGCUGAGGCAGGAGGAUCAAGAGGCCAAGGCCAGCUUCAGCUGUGAAAGGAGGCCUGCAGACAACAGCAACUUGUGUCUGGGAAAAUGCAGUGUUUAGACCUUGUAGGUAAUGCUCUAGUCGGUUCGUCUUCAGCUUUUCCAAAGCAGCGUGGGAAAAAUUCUACUUUCUCUCGGCCUUUGACCCCACGUGUACUGGCUGCUUUUUUUGUCAACCUGACACAAGCUAAAAUCUUCAGAGAGGAAGGAGCCUCAGCUUAUGAGAUCUAGCUAUAAAGUAUUUUCUCAAUUAGUAAUCAACAGGAAAGACCACAGCCCCUUGUGGGCAAUGCUGUCCCUGGACUGGUGGCCCUGGGUGCUAUAAGAAAGCAGGCUGAGCAAGCCAGGGGGGGCAAGCCAGUAAGCAGCACCCCUCCCUGGCCUCUGCAUCAGCUCCUGCUUCCAGGUUCCUGUUUUUCUUGAGUUCCUGUCCUGAUUUCCUUUGGUGAUGAACAGCAAUAUGGAAGUGUAAGCCAAAUAAAUCCUUUCUUCUCCAA